UACGAAGGGUGCAAGCGUUAAUCGGAAUUACUGGGCGUAAAGCGUGCGUAGGCGGUUCUUAAGUCUGCUGUGAAAUCCCCGGGCUCAACCUGGGAAUGGCAGUGGAUACUGGAGAGCUAGAGUGUGAUAGAGGAUGGUGGAAUUCCCGGUGUAGCGGUGAAAUGCGUAGAGAUCGGGAGGAACACCAGUGGCGAAGGCGGCCUUCUGGACCAAUACUGACGCUCAUGCACGAAAAGCGUGGGGAGCAAACAGG
rnacentral:rRNA from 1 species